CCUACGUGUGGCUGCAGUGGGGAAUAUCGGACAAUGGGCGAAAGCCUGAUCCAGCCAUGCCGCGUGUGUGAAGAAGGCCUUCGGGUUGUAAAGCACUUUCAGUGGGGAAGAAAGCCUUGGGGCUAAUACCCUCGAGGAAGGACAUCACCCACAGAAGAAGCACCGGCUAACUCCGUGCCAGCAGCCGCGGUAAUACGGAGGGUGCGAGCGUUAAUCGGAAUUACUGGGCGUAAAGCGCGCGUAGGCGGUCUGAUAAGCCGGUUGUGAAAGCCCCGGGCUCAACCUGGGAACGGCAUCCGGAACUGUCAGGCUAGAGUGCAGGAGAGGAAGGUAGAAUUCCCGGUGUAGCAGUGAAAUGCGUAGAGAUCGGGAGGAAUACCAGUGGCGAAGGCGGCCUUCUGGACUGACACUGACGCUGAGGUGCGAAAGCGUGGGUAGCAAACAGGAUUAGAUACCCCGGUAGUC
rnacentral:rRNA from 1 species